rnacentral:rRNA from 1 species
AACGGCUACCAUGUCCAAGGACGGCAGCAGGCGCGAAAAUUACCGAAGCCUUGAGAGGGCGGUAGUGAUGAGACGUGAGUAAUCGACCAGAUAGUAAAUAUGUCGAGAGUAACUGGAAGGCAAGUCUGGUGCCAGCAGCUGCGGUAAUACCAGCUCCAGGAGUGUUUAUGAUGAUUGCUGCGAUUAAAACGUCCGUAGUUGAAGCAUAGGUCAAUGAAUGUGUAAAACAUGAGAUUAAAUCGUGUAAAUAUUCAUAAAGACUAAUGGAAUAGGGAGCGACUAGGGGGUAAGGAAUCGGAGCACGAGAGGUGAAAUUUGAUGACUGUUCCGGGGCGACCAGAGGCGAAGGCAUUACCCAGGAGCGAUUCUGACGAUCAAGGACGUAGGCUAGAGGAUCGAACACGAUUAGAUACCGUAGUAGUUCUAGCAGUAAACGAUAUAGACAGCGCGUCAGUAUAGAGAGAUUUAUGCUGGUGUGUGAGGGAAACUGAGUAGUAUUUCGGGGAGAGUACGCGCGCAAGCGAUAAAUUUAAAGGAAAUUGACGGAAGAACACCACAAGGAGUGGAGUGUGCGGCUUAAUUUGACUCAACGCGGGACAGCUUACCAGUGCCGAAGAUAGUAUGAGUGAAUACACGAUAUAUCUGUGAGUGGUGCAUGGCCGUUAUAGAUAGGUGUAGUUAUAUGCUUAGUUAAUUCGUUUAAUAAUGUGAGACGCACGUCAUCUAAGGAUGAGACAGCUAUGAAAAGUAGAGGAAGGAGUGCGCAAGAACAGGUCAGUGAUGCCCUUAGACGUGCUGGGCUGCACGCGCACUACAUUGAGUUAUGUAAAGUGGUUAUAAAUGGAAAGUAACUAAAGAGGGAUUGUAGUUUGAAAUAAUUACAUGAACGUGGAAUUGCUAGUAAUCGUGUGUUCAUUAGAACGCGAUGAAUGUGUCCCUGUCUU